ACGAGAAAGUGGAGCAAUCCAUGAGUAAGGUGGCGUACGGGUGAGUAACACGUGGGUAAUCUACCUCUGGGUGGGGAAUAACUCUGGGAAACCGGAGCUAAUACCGCAUGAGCCCGCAAGGGGAAAGGCGAAAGUCGCCGAGAGAGGAGCCCGCGGCUGAUUAGCUAGUUGGUGGGGUAAGAGCUCACCAAGGCUGAGAUCGGUAGCCGGCCUGAGAGGGCACACGGCCACACUGGCACUGAAACACGGGCCAGACUCCUACGGGAGGCAGCAGUGGGGAAUCUUGCACAAUGGGGGAAACCCUGAUGCAGCGACGCCGCGUGAGCGAUGAAGCCCUUCGGGGUGUAAAGCUCUUUCGGCAGGGACGAUAAUGACGGUACCUGCAGAAGAAGCUGCGGCUAACUACGUGCCAGCAGCCGCGGUAAUACGUAGGCAGCGAGCGUUG
rnacentral:rRNA from 1 species